rnacentral:piRNA from 1 species
UAGAAAAGUAUCCUAAGGGUCUCCAAG